rnacentral:rRNA from 1 species
AUUGAACGCUGGCGGCAGGCCUAACACAUGCAAGUCGAGCGAGCGGCGGACGGGUGAGUAAUGUCUGGGAACCUGCCUGAUGGAGGGGGAUAACUACUGGAAACGGUAGCUAAUACCGCAUACCAUCAGAUGUGCCCAGAUGGGAUUAGCUAGUAGGUGGGGUAAUGGCUCACCUAGGCGACGAUCCCUAGCUGGUCUGAGAGGAUGACCAGCCACACUGGAAUGGAGACACGGUCCAGACUCCUACGGGAGGCAGCAGUGGAGAGUAUUGCACAAUGGGCGCAAGCCUGAUGCAGCCAUGCCGAGUGUGGGAAGAGGGCCAUCGGGUGGUAAAGCACUUUAAGCGGGGGGGCGGUCCCCGCAGAAGAAGCACCGGCUAACUCCGUACCAGCAGCCGCGGUAAUAC